GAUCACUUGAUAUUUGUGGGUGUUGCUGCAAGGCUCUGGAGGGAAGUGGAUGAUCUCGGCCUCGAACCAAAGCUGAAGAGCUGAGCUGAGCCGGUGUAGCCCGUGAUCAAAUCUGCAAAUGAAGUCCUAAAAUCAUGGGGUAUCCUCCAAUUUAGGAUCCUCUGAUGCUUAAGUUAGCCGGAGUCUUGAGAACAAAUAGUGAGAAUCGAGAAAU
rnacentral:lncRNA from 1 species